rnacentral:lncRNA from 1 species
UACUCCUCAUAGUUAGUAAAUUCGGAUUCGGCAAAAAUUCGGUACGGAUAUAAUUUGGAUAAAAUUCGUCUUCUAAUUUUAAAUUUAUUGAAAAAUACGGCUAAAAAACGGAUUCGUUAAUUAUUCGGAUACGUGAUUUAUACGGAUAUUAUAAGUUCGCCAAUUAAAAAUUCGGGAUAAAAAAUUCGGCUAUUAAAUUAAGUUUUUUUUCUCUCAAAAUUUAUGCUAUUAGCAUAAAUAUUCAUAUUUCUUAAGAAUAUAAGAAUAAAGAGCUACAAAAUUAAGCUAAUUAAGUAAAAAAAAAUAGCAAACUAUAUUAUGCCCCAAAAUAAAUAAAUAAUUAAAUAUAAAACAUAGUUGGAAACUGAAUAUAA